ensembl:antisense Mhrt myosin heavy chain associated RNA transcript
AGCCCUGCAGUCUGAUGAACAUUCUAGAGUAUGUGGACACAGAUGGACGCUCUGGCCACAGCUUGUUGACCUGGGACUCGGCGAUGUCCGCCCUCUCCUCCGCCUCAUCCAGCUCGUGCUGCACCUUGCGGAACUUGGACAGCCUCCAGCUCAUUCUCCAGCUCCCGGACCCGGGCCUCCAGCUUCUGCAGCUGCUUCUUGCCGCCCUUGAGGGCGAUCUGCUCUGCCUCGUCCAGACGGUGCUGCAAGUCCUUGAUGGUCUGCUCCAUGUUCUUCUUCAUGCGCUCCAGGUCAUCAUUGGCACGGACAGCAUCAUCCAGCUGGAUUUGAGUGUCCUGAGGAUCAGAAAAAUGAGUGGCCUCAUUGCGGCUGCGUGUCUCCGCAUCCAGGGAGGUCUGCAGGGAGUCCACCAUCCGCAGGUGGUUGCGCUUGGCCUGCUCCAUCUCCUCAUCCUUCUCUGCCAGCUUCCUUUCGAUCUCUGCCUUGAUCUGGUUGAACUCCAGCUGGGCGCGGAGGAUCUUGCCCUCCUCGUGCUCCAGGGAGGCCUGGAAAGGAUAUAGAUUUUGCAGGCAUAUAGUCAGAGACCAGGGUGGAAGCAAGGGUGUGUCUAAAAACCAUGGCACAGAGAGCAUUUGGGGAUGGUAUACAUGACUCAGUAGGAGAUGCAGAGGAAGGAAAUGAGAAAGAGUGUGCACAAGAGAAAUGAAAGCAAGCUGAAGAGAAGGGGAUGCAGACUCCCAGGGGGGCGGAGGGAGUCAGCUUUGAAGACAAAGAGGAAAAUGAAAAGUGUUGCCAAGGAAACAGAGGCAAUGAAGCAGAGAGUGAAAGG